rnacentral:SRP_RNA from 1 species
GCUGCAGGUAAUGACAUACUCCUGUAAAUGCCAGCUACCGGAAGGAAAGAGGGGAGGGGAGCCUGAUGCUGGCAGAUCUCUUGAGCGUGGGAGUUCUCAACUUUGAUGGGUUAUGCUGAUCAGGUGUCUGCCCUAAGUUUGGCAUUAAAAGAGUGAGCCCUCAGUAGCAGGAGACCAUCAGGUUGCCUAAAGAGAAGCAAACCAGCCCAGGUCAGAAACAGAGCAAGUCAAGGCUCCCAUGCCAAUCAGUGAUGGGAUUGGACCCAUGAGUAGCUCUACACUUCUAGCCUGGGCAAGAUAGAGAGACCCAGUCUUUA